rfam:Gossypium raimondii Chr03_contig_1062, whole genome shotgun sequence.
UAUUCAAAAUUUCAUCUAUUUUUACUAUUAAAAAUUGGUGUAGCUGACAAAAUAACUAGAUAAUUACACAUGACAUGCCACAUGUACCUCAUGCUGACAUAUAGAAACUAAUUUUUAACAUUGAAAAUGAAUAACAUUUUUAACA